rnacentral:rRNA from 1 species
AACGAACGCUGGCGGCAUGCCUAACACAUGCAAGUCGAACGACACCUUCGGGUCUAGUGGCGCACGGGGGCGUAACGCGUGGGACCCGGCACGUAGGUUCGGAAUAACUCCCCGAAGUGGGUGCUAAUACCGGAUAAUGUCCUCUGACCAAAGAUUUAUCGACUUGGUGUGGGCACGCGUUGGUUUAGCUAGUCGGUAGGGUAAAAGCCUACGAAGGAGAGGAUCCAUAGCUGGUCUGAGAGGAUGAUCAGCGACUCUGGGACUGAGCAGCGGCCCAGAAUCCUGCGGGAGGCAGCAGAGGGGAAUACUGGACAAUGGGCGGAAGCCUGAUCCAGCUAUGCCGCGUGAGUCAUGAAGGCGGUAGGGUUGUAAAGCUCUUUUACCCGGGAUGAUACUGACAGUACCGGGAGAAUAAGCUCCGGCUAACUCCGUG